GCAAGCGUUGUCCGGAUUUAUUGGGCGUAAAGAGCUCGUAGGCGGCCUGUCGCGUCGACGUGAAAGUCCACGGCUCAACUGUGGGAUUGCGGUCGAUACGGGCAGGCUAGAGUGCGGCAGGGGAGACUGGAAUUCCUGGUGUAGCGGUGAAAUGCGCAGAUAUCAGGAGGAACACCGGUGGCGAAGGCGGGUCUCUGGGCCGUUACUGACGCUGAGGAGCGAAAGCGUGGGGAGCGAACAGGAUUAGAUACCCUGGUAGUCCACGCUGUAAACGUUGGGCGCUAGGUGUGGGGACCCUUCCCGGGUUUCUGUGCNGUAGCUAACGCA
rnacentral:rRNA from 1 species